rnacentral:lncRNA from 1 species
AGAGAAGCAGAAGACACCGCUUACGGCAUUGUAGCUCAGUUUAGCGCUAUUUUAUGCGGGGAUAGGGCUCCAGCGUUUUCUAGUACAAGCUAUGAAAAGCAUUCUUUUGUAACUGCUGUUUCCCAGCGAUCUGACAUCUUCAGUGGGGAGGACGGGAGGAGAGGAGAUUUCUGUGACCAGGGAUGGAGCUAUGCAGCAGUUUUAAUAUGUACAACAACGCUUCGGGCUUGUGAAAGGAAACUGGAACCACUUACGUUUAAAGGUGUCGCUAUAGCACAAGUUUUUAGUUCCUCCUCCCUGAGCUGCCUCUGGUUAAGCUUGAAAGGAGGCACUUUCCACCCUCCAUGCAUCUGUCACUGGUGUCACCUGACACCCUUGUUGUCACAGCUUGUACCUUUGGAGUUACUGGUGCCUUGAUGUUGCUAGUUUCACUGGCAACACCUUCUGGAGACCAUAAUGGUGAGUGCCUCCACCAUGUCUGGGGGCUCCUGGGUGGCGGGCUCCUGGGUGGCAGGCUCCACUGCCACAGGGUAAAGAGGAAGUUGGGGUGAAGCUUGGUUUGUCUCUUCUGGGACCAGAGUUGUUUAGAUUUGGG